GAUGAACGCUGGCGGCGUGCCUAAUACAUGCAAGUCGAGCGAACAGACGAGGAGCUUGCUCCUCUGACGUUAGCGGCGGACGGGUGAGUAACACGUGGAUAACCUACCUAUAAGACUGGGAUAACUUCGGGAAACCGGAGCUAAUACCGGAUAAUAUAUUGAGCCGCAUGGUUCAAUAGUGAAAGACGGUUUUGCUGUCACUUAUAGAUGGAUCCGCGCCGCAUUAGCUAGUUGGUAAGGUAACGGCUUACCAAGGCAACGAUGCGUAGCCGACCUGAGAGGGUGAUCGGCCACACUGGAACUGAGACACGGUCCAGACUCCUACGGGAGGCAGCAGUAGGGAAUCUUCCGCAAUGGGCGAAAGCUUGACGGAGCAACGCCGCGUGAGUGAUGAAGGUCUUCGGAUCGUAAAACCCUGUUAUUAGGGAAGAACAAAUGUGUAAGUAACUAUGCACGUCUUGACGGUACCUAAUCAGAAAGCCACGGCUAACUACGUG
rnacentral:rRNA from 1 species